rnacentral:rRNA from 1 species
UACGUAGGGUGCAAGCGUUGUCCGGAAUUAUUGGGCGUAAAGAGCUCGUAGGCGGUUUGUCGCGUCUGCUGUGAAAACUCGGGGCUUAACUCCGGGCCUGCAGUGGGUACGGGCAGACUAGAGUGCGGUAGGGGAGACUGGAAUUCCUGGUGUAGCGGUGAAAUGCGCAGAUAUCAGGAGGAACACCGGUGGCGAAGGCGGGUCUCUGGGCCGUAACUGACGCUGAGGCGCGAAGGCUAGGGUAGCAAACAGG